rnacentral:rRNA from 1 species
AAUUGUUAGUGGCAGACGGGUGAGUAAUGCGUAGGAAUCUACCUAGUAGUAUGGAAUAGCCAUUAGAAAUGAUGGGUAAUACUGUAUAAUCCCUGCGGGGGAAAGAUUUAUCGCUAUUAGAUGAGCCUACGUUAGAUUAGCUAGUUGGUAAGGUAAUGGCUUACCAAGGCUAUGAUCUAUAGCUGGUCUGAGAGGACGAUCAGCCACACUGGAACUGAGAUACGGUCCAGACUCCUACGGGAGGCAGCAGUGGGGAAUAUUGGACAAUGGGCGAAAGCCUGAUCCAGCUAUGCCGCGUGAGUGAAGAAGGCCUUCGGGUUGUAAAACUCUUUC